rnacentral:tRNA from 1 species
UGGCUCAGUGGUAGAGUGCUUGCCUUGAAUGCAUGAGGCCCUGAGUUCGAUUCCUCAG